rnacentral:rRNA from 1 species
CACGUAGGGGGCAAGCGUUGUCCGGAAUCAUUGGGCGUAAAGAGCUCGUAGGCGGCUCAGUAAGUCGGGUGUGAAACCUCCAGGCUCAACCUGGAGACGCCACCCGAUACUGCUGUGGCUAGAGUCCAGUAGGGGAGUGUGGAAUUCCCGGUGUAGCGGUGAAAUGCGCAGAUAUCGGGAGGAACACCAGCGGCGAAGGCGGCACUCUGGGCUGGUACUGACGCUGAGGAGCGAAAGCGUGGGGAGCGAACAGG